CACAGGGUUCAGUUUAGACAUGUUAUGUUUCUACAGGGUUCUGUUUAGACAUGUUAUGUUUCUACAGGGUUCUGUUUAGACAGGUUAUGUUUCUACAUGGUUCAGCUUAGACAGGUUAUGUUUCUACAUGGUUCAGUUUAGACAGGUUAUAUUUCUACAGGGUUCAGUUUAGACAGGUUAUGUUUCUACACGGUUCAGUUUAGACAGGUUAUAUUUCUACAUGGUUCAGCUUAGACAGGUUAUGGUUCUACAUGGUUCAGCUUAGACAGGUUAUAUUUCUACAGGGUUCUGUUUAGACAGGUUAUGUUUCUACAUAGUUCAGUUUAGACAGGUUAUUUUUCUACAUGGUUCAGCUUAGACAGGUUAUAUUUCUACAGGGUUCUGUUUAGACAGGUUAUGUUUCUACAUAGUUCAGUUUAGACAGGUUAUGUUUCUACAUGGUUCAGCUUAGACAGGUUAUAUUUCUACGGGGUUCUGUUUAGACAGGUUAUGUUUCUACAGGGUUCUGUUUAGACAGGUUAUGUUUCUACAUGGUUCAGCUUAGACAGGUUAUGUUUCUACAUGGUUCAGUUAAGACAGGUUAUGUUUCUACAGUGUUCAGUUAAGACAGGUUAUGUUUCUACGAGGUUCAGUUUAGACAGGUUAUGUUUCUACAGGGUUCAGUUUAGAAAGGUUAUAUGUCUACAUAGUUCAGUUUAUAUCUCUACAUAGUUCAGUUUAGAAAGGUUACGUUUCUACAGUGUUCAGUUUAGACAGGUGAUGUUUCUAGUGUUCAGUUUAGACAGGUUAUGUUUCUACACGGUUCAGUUAAGACAGGUUAUGUUUCUACUGGGUUCAGUUUAGACAGGUUAUAUUUCUACAUGGUUCAGCUUAGACAGGUUAUGUUUCUACAGGGUUCUGUUUAGACAGGUUAUGUUUCUACAUAGUUCAGUUUAGACAGGUUAUGUUUCUACAUGGUUCAGCUUAGACAGGUUAUAUUUCUACGGGGUUCUGUUUAGACAGGUUAUGUUUCUACAGGGUUCAGUUUAGACAGGUGAUGUUUCUACAGGGUUCAGUUUAGACAGGUUAUAUUUCUACAUGGUUCAGUUUAGACAGGUGAUGUUUCUACAUGGUUCACUUUAGACAGGUGAUGUUUCUACAUGGUUCAGUUUAGACAGGUUAUAUUUCUACAGGGUUCAGUUUAGACAGGUUAUGUGUCUACACGGUUCAGUUUAGACAGGUUAUAUUUCUACAGGGUUCAGUUUAGACAUGUUAUAUUUCUACAGGGUUCAGUUUAGACAGGUUAUAUUUCUACAGGGUUCAGUUUAGACAGGUGAUGUUUCUACAGGGUUCAGUUUAGACAGGUUAUAUUUCUACACGGUUCAGUUUAGACAGGUUAUAUCUCUACAUAGUUCAGUUUAGAAAGGUUACGUUUCUAUGAGGUUUCGUUAAAACAAGUGACACUGUUGAUACACAUUCAGUUUAGAGAGGUUUUAAGAUUGUUCAGGUUACGCAAUUUGCGCUACUUAUACAGGGUUCAGUGUAGACUAAUACAAAUGCUUACAACUGUGUCAUGUUCGAGGUUUAUUGAACGAAUGUAUUCAUGCUGAUUUCAAACCGAAAUCGGAGAACUUUUACAUUAUGUACAUACAUUUGCAUGUGUGUACACAAUACACAGGAGGCUGUGGCUGUUUGUAGUAUUGAUGAUUUACCAACAUGAGCGUAUAAUUGUAUUUUGAUCUGUGUAACAUGUGUAGCUUGUGCUAUUGUAUCAUACCAUUACAAGGACCAGCCCACAACAGAUAUUUUGAUCGCUGAAGGUGUACGUGUUCAAAUGGAAAUAUAAAUACAUGUGUACAUAUUAGCAUUAAAGUGUUUUGAGUUGAUACACAUUUUUACAUGUACCGUGGUGCAGAACCAUUGUUUUAAUCCGUUACUGUGUCAGUUUCGACCAUCUCGUAUAUAUUUGUUUCAAACUGUUGUAAAUAAAACUCUUAUAUUUGAAUGCUUAAAAUAUUUUUUUUUUAUUUAUUUUACAACAAUUGCGAAUCAAGUUAUAUCAAUUGAUAUUAAACCCGGUUGUUGGCGCGGAUGGAAGCGUGUGAGGGACCUUUCUGUGGCAGGAAACCGGAGUACCCGGGGAGGACCCACGUGGUCGGGCAGGUGACCCAUACCUUUCCACGUCCGAUCGGGGAAUCGAAACCCGGCCGCCUUGGUUAAUGGCAACUGUGAAUGCUUAUUUUCAUUUAGUUUAAACUUCAUUUCUUUCCUUGGUACAGAACAUGGUGUAUUAUGUAAGAUAUAUAUAUAUAUAAAGGAUUCAGAAACAAGUGGUAUACCUUAAGUUGAUUAUACAUCAAUGCAAUUUGAUUAAAACACAGAUGAUCACGUUAUACGAUUGUGUUGAGGAUCCUUAACACGAUAGUAUAAGGUGAUGAUCGGUAUUCUAAUCAGAUUGAUCUCGACUGAUUCCGAUAUCCUUCGUCAUCUUGCCGAGAUGUGACUAACGAGGCAUGUGUAUUAGCGUGAGAAGAUGAUCAAUACAAUUGUUUUGUAUCUGGGAACAUCACCAUGCUUAAACAUAAAAA